GGGGAGGGGGGGGGGGGGGGGGGUGGUGGUGCAGAUUUUGGCUUCUCUGUGGAGGAAUGAGGAACCGAGAGAGCCACAGUCGAGAGAGACUCUUGUCUUGAAUCAGUUUUGAAAGGCAGACAACCACAGCCUACAGUCGCACAGAGGCACACACACAAACGCAGUCACACAGCUCGACUCGACUCGACUCUACAGUGUGGAUUCGACAGAUGAGGUAGAUAAGGUGGAGCAGGAGAAGCGAGAGUCGAUUAUCGAUAGUCUAGACUCGACAACCGACGACAGUGGUGGAGAAGCUAGCCGAGAACGAGAACUGAGAAGAGAUGAGAGCGUCUGAGAUAGAGAGCAAGGCAUGCAGCGGAGCAGCAAAAGGAAAGAACAUAAAAUUUUAGGGCAACGGUGCGCGUCAAAACGGCAGAGUGAAAAUCUGAAAACGGCAGCAGGAAUAUUUCCAUUUCUUCCAAUAUUAGAACACGUUACAUUUUAUGAAGAGACCGGUAUCUCGUGGUAUGCUAAGAACGAACAUUUUCAAACUAUUUUACAUAGCUGAUUUAAUUUAUAGUUAUUUUCG
rnacentral:misc_RNA from 1 species